rnacentral:lncRNA from 1 species
CAUAUGCAGACAUGGCUGGAUGUUCUUUGCUAGGCUGCUGAGUCAGAAGCCUGGACGGGCCAGCUUCAGUCUUAAUGAACUGGCUCAGGAAGGAAGUGCUAACAGAGAUGGGUGCACUGUGCAGUCAGUAGUGGGAGCUGAUGCCGGCUAGAAGAACUGAGCCUUGUGAGAGGCAGUCUGAUUCCUUGGAAAGAGCAUUGGCUGGAAGUCUGGAGGCCUGGGCUAGUCUCUGCUCUGCCACUAACUUGCUGCAUGACCCUGGUAAAGGUUUACUUCAAUUAAAAGUUUAUCAAGGGACCAGCCCAGUGGUGCAGCGGUUAAGUGCGCACGUUCCGCUUCUCAGCGGCCCAGGGUUUGACAGUUCGGAUCCUGGGUGCGGACAUGGCACCGCUUGGCAUGCCAUGCUGUGGAGCCUUCCUUGAUCUUCUUUCUAUCUCACCCCCUGGCUGGGUAGGUACUUCUCCUUAAUGAUCCCACAGAAUUUUGUGUUCACCUCUACUGUGGCACUUUUCACAUUGUUUUCUAGUUGUCUGCUCAUUUAUUGGUUGGCUUCUUUAGACUGGGAGCUCCUGAAAAGGUAGGGGCUAUCAUCUUUAUCUUUGUAUCCCCAGCAUCCAGCUCAGCCCUGGCCCACCAUAGGCACUCAGUGAAUGUUGAUUUGAGCAAAAGACACGAUUGAAAGAAAUGUCUCCUGAAAUUGCUUCUUACAAAUCUAGCCAACAAGUGCAGCAUCCUAGAUGGAGGCACCAGAGAUGACAUCAUCUCUGGCUUUCUGCUGCAGACCCACAUGGAGAAUCCCACAUGGUGCAACCAAAAUCCUCAAGGCCAGAUAGGUCUUUUCAUUGGAAGCCCUAAAAUGCAAUGCCUGGCUUUGAAGAGGGUGUAUGACACAAAUGAUUUACUAUGCAUUGAUCUGACUAAUGGAAAAUAAACAAUAACUUUUAAAUUAUCAUCCUUUGAGUGUGAUGUGUUUAGGUCACAUGUGAUGUGAUUGGUCAAUGUUAAAAAAUAUAUGUGAUUUUUAGCCUUCCAGAUCCCACGGUAAUGUCUGAAAAGAAACUUUUAAAAUUGAAUAAGUAUAGGGUUAUUU